GAGAGAGGCUCGACAGCAACGAUAACUGCUAAUUAUCACCCCCCCGGUUAAACCCCGGGGCUCACUCG
rnacentral:tRNA from 3 species